rfam:Ailuropoda melanoleuca scaffold2229_4, whole genome shotgun sequence.
ACCUGGCUGGCUCAAUGGUAGGGCAUGUGACUCUUGCUCUCAAGGUCAUGAGUUCAAGCCCCGUGUUGGGUG